ACUGUUGGGUCAUUAGUUAGAGAUUUUAGCUCAGUUUCCUUCUCUCUAAAUCUCACACCGUUGUGAAUCCAUAACCCAUACGAACUACCAAGAGCACAAUUUCCAGGUAUUCAAAAUCUAAAUGCCACCAUCAUCCUCCGCCACCAAGCGCUCUGAUGAUGACGACUACGCGCCUUCAUUCUCUGGUCCACCUGUUGAAAUCUCCGUACUCGAUAUAGACGAACAACAGGAACCUGAAAUAAUGGAAGAACAAGAAGUCGAUAACGACAAUAAAGAAGAAGAAGAAGAAGAAGAAGAAGAAGAAGAAGAAGAAGAAUAUCAAGAGAUUGAAGUAGAAGAGGAAGUAGAUAUAGAAGAAGUUGAAGUAGAAGAAGAUGAUAUGAUAGAUUCAUCAAAGGAAGCUAAUGUCAAACGCAACGCUGUCCCCUGGAGACCGAAAUAUUAGCUGGGCAAGUCUUGCUUGGAGCUUGAGCAGCUGAAUCUGGAGUAAUGUGAUCAAACUCAAACUCUUGUUCUUGCCUUUUUAUUUGGAUGACUGCAUCUGUCUGAGAGGACAUAGAUCUCAAAUCUUGAAUAGAUAGGAGGCCAGCAAAGGAAAGUGAGUCGCAAGAACUGCUAUCUGCGGCAAUAUCCACGGAGAACUGGUUUUGCAGGUGUUGUCCAAUUGAAAUGCAUGAAAAACUGAAAUGUGCUCCCUUUUAUUAUACAUCUAGGAUUGACAUGUCCGAAGAAGAGUAAAGCCUGAAACGAAACGACUGGUGUUUCUGGAUUUGUUGUCUUCUUCGGCGGGAUAGUUGGUCUGCUAAGGUGUCACAAAAUCAUAGCAUGUGGAAGGUGUGUAUUUUUCUCAGGAAUUGGAAAUUAGAGGAGUAGAACCUGAGACCUCUCAGAUUUACUCACAUGCACUUACUAUCAUACUAAACCUGAAGCUUGUGUAAAUGAGAGCAACCAUCCAUCUUCUUAGUCCAAACCUCCAUUGGGAAUUUCAAAAUCAAUUUCAAUGGGGCCAUUGAUUCAAAUAGAGGUUGUGUUUGGUCUCAGCCAUUGCCACAGGCGAGAAUGGCAAACCUAUAAGGUGGAGUUGCAAAAAAUCAAAAGCAUCAUAGACUCCUUGACAGUGGAAGCAUUGGGCUGCCUUGAAGUAGCUAUGUUGAUAAAGCAGUGAGGUUUCUAGAGAGUUAUCCUAGAAGGUGACUCGCUUUCAGUUGUCCAUGCGGUGAUGGGCUUGCAUUCUACAUCUCCAUAAGUGGAUGUAUUUAAGACGUGCUUUAUCUCUCAUAUUUUUUUAGUCAGAUUAGGUUUAAGUAUGUCGAUAAGAUGAAAAAUAUGACCGUUCACUUUCUUACUGGGAGGAGUUUGUCAAAUAAUUCCAUUCUCUACAAUCAUUUGACAUGACCUAAUGUUGUGGUUUUCCUCAUGCUUUCUCGAUGAAUCUAUCUUUGGCAAAAAUAAAUAAAUAAAUUCAAAUGGUACCCGAAUAAAUUUUCUCGGGUCAAGAAGAAAAUUGCUGAGAGCCUGAGAUGGGCCUCAUUAAGCUCAUCACCAUUGAGGGCCUAAUCCGCGAUCCCUUACAAAUUAUUGUUUGAUCUAUCUAACAUAUUUCGAAGUAGCUUUUAAAAAUAAGAAGAUAAAUUAGAUUUAAAAAUAGAAUAAAAAUAAUUAUUAUUUUUCUCUUUAUUUUAAUAAAAAAUUUGUGGAGAGAUUCC